rnacentral:rRNA from 1 species
UACGUAGGUGGCAAGCGUUGUCCGGAUUUACUGGGCGUAAAGAGCGCGCAGGCGGUCGGAUAAGUCGAAUGUGAAAGCCCCCGGCUCAACUGGGGAGGGUCAUUCGAUACUGUUCGACUCGAAGGCAGGAGAGGGAAGUGGAAUUCCCGGUGUAGUGGUGAAAUGCGUAGAUAUCGGGAAGAACACCAAUGGCGAAGGCAGCUCUCUGGGACGGUACUGACGCUGAGACGCGAAAGCGUGGGGAGCGAACAGG